UGGAGCUGGUUUUUGAAGAUAUAAAUUUGUAACUAUUGGUGUUUCUUCAAGGUUUUAACUUGGUUAACUAAGGUGCGUACCAGCUGUGUAUAUAUAGUGUUUGCGAAGCUUAGGACAUAAGGAACAACUUUCGUGAAGGAACUACGGUCUUUCGAGCGUUCAUUGGAAAGGUCCUGACAGACGACUGAGUAGACCUCCUCAGCAGCAGGAUUGACUUUUAUCUGGUUGGCUAGCCCCUUUCCUCCGGAGCUGCCAGAGUUGGGAGGUUUGUUACAUUUUGUUGUAUAUAUCUUUAUGGGUAGGCUGGGGCCCUGUCCCACCAAUCUUUACUACUCUUAGAGGCUUGCAGACUAGUGUGUGGGGUUUAUAGCUACGUUAUGGCCAUACUGGCCUAUGUUGUUGGUUGGCGGAA